ensembl:snRNA U6 U6 spliceosomal RNA
GUAGUCACUUCAGCAGCACACCUACUAAAAUUGGAAUGAUACAGAAAAGGUUACCAUGGCCUCUGUGCAAGGAUGACACAUAAGCUGGUAAAUCAUUCCAUAUUUUU